GCCAGGUGUGGUGGCGGGCGCCUGUAGUCCCAGCUACUUGGGAGGCUGAGGCAGGAGAAUGGCAUGAACCCGGGAGGCAGAGCUUGCAGUGAGCCGAGAUCGCGCCACUGCACUCCAGCCUGGGCGACAGUGUGAGGCUCCAUGUCAAAAAAAAAAAAGAGAGAGAGAGAUUAGAAUGGUCAAAUGACUUCUUUUUACAUUUUUUUUUUUUUGACACUGAGUUUCACUCUGUUGCCCAGGCUGGAGUGCAGUGGCAUGAUCUCGGCUCACUGCAACCUCUGCCUCCCGGGUUCAAGCAAUUCUCCUGCCUCAG
rnacentral:SRP_RNA from 1 species